rnacentral:rRNA from 1 species
GAUGAACGCUGACAGAAUGCUUAACACAUGCCAGUCCACUUGAACUUCGGUUUGGGUGGCGGACGGGUGAGUAACGCGUAAAGAAUUUGCCUCACAGCUAGGGACAACAUUUGGAAACGAAUGCUAAUACCUGAUAUUAUGAUUAUAUGGCAUCGUAUAAUUAUGAAAGCUAUAUGCGCUGUGAGAGAGCUUUGCGUCCCAUUAGCUAGUUGGAGAGGUAACAGCUCACCAAGGCGAUGAUGGGUAGCCGGCCUGAGAGGGUGAUCGGCCACAAGGGGACUGAGACACGGCCCUUACUCCUACGGGAGGCAGCAGUGGGGAAUAUUGGACAAUGGACCGAGAGUCUGAUCCAGCAAUUCUGUGUGCACGAUGAAGUUUUUCGGAAUGUAAAGUGCUUUCAGUUGGGAAGAAAAAAAUGACGGUACCAACAGAAGAAGUGACGGCUAAAUACGUG